rnacentral:rRNA from 1 species
AUUGAACGCUGGCGGCAUGCUUUACACAUGCAAGUCGAACGGUAACAGGCCGCAAGGUGCUGACGAGUGGCGAACGGGUGAGUAAUGCAUCGGAACGUGCCCAGUCGUGGGGGAUAACGCAGCGAAAGCUGUGCUAAUACCGCAUACGAUCUAUGGAUGAAAGCGGGGGACCGUAAGGCCUCGCGCGAUUGGAGCGGCCGAUGGAAGAUUAGGGAGUUGGUGGGGUAAAGGCCUACCAAGCCGACGAUCUGUAGGGGGGCUGAGAGGACGAACCGCCACACUGGGACUGAGACACGGCCCAGACUCCUACGGGAGGCAGCAGUGGAGAAUUUUGGACAAUGGGCGCAAGCCUGAUCCAGCAAUGCCGCGUGCAGGAAGAAGGCCUUCGGGUUGUAAACUGCUUUUGUACGGAACGAAACGGUCUGGGUUAAUACCCUGGGCUAAUGACGGUACCGUAAGAAUAAGCACCGGCUAACUACGUGCCAGCCGCCGCAGUAACAC